rnacentral:rRNA from 1 species
GUUUGAUCAUGGCUCAGAUUGAACGCUGGCGGCAGGCUUAACACAUGCAAGUCGAACGGUAACAUAAAGAAGCUUGCUUCUUUGAUGACGAGUGGCGGACGGGUGAGUAAUGCUUGGGAAUCUGGCUUAUGGAGGGGGAUAACUACGGGAAACUGUAGCUAAUACCGCGUAAUAUCGAAAGAU